GACGAACGCUGGCGGCGUGCUUAACACAUGCAAGUCGAACGGAAAGGCCCUGCUUUUGUGGGGUGCUCGAGUGGCGAACGGGUGAGUAACACGUGAGUAACCUGCCCUUGACUUUGGGAUAACUUCAGGAAACUGGGGCUAAUACCGGAUAGGAGCUCCUGCUGCAUGGUGGGGGUUGGAAAGUUUCGGCGGUUGGGGAUGGACUCGCGGCUUAUCAGCUUGUUGGUGGGGUAGUGGCUUACCAAGGCUUUGACGGGUAGCCGGCCUGAGAGGGUGACCGGCCACAUUGGGACUGAGAUACGGCCCAGACUCCUACGGGAGGCAGCAGUGGGGAAUAUUGCACAAUGGGCGGAAGCCUGAUGCAGCAACGCCGCGUGCGGGAUGACGGCCUUCGGGUUGUAAACCGCUUUCGCCUGUGACGAAGCGUGAGUGACGGUAAUGGGUAAAGAAGCACCGGCUAACUACGUGCCAGCAGCCGCGGUAAUAC
rnacentral:rRNA from 1 species